rnacentral:lncRNA from 1 species
GCAAAGCAGAGUCCUGAUUGGACUCAGGGGCAGGGCGGGCGCCCUGUCUCUGGCCCCGUUUCGCCUCCGCUUCGGUCUCGUGGCUUCUGGAGUCUUCUAGAUGUAAGAUAAUUGCGCAGCACGUUAAUAUCUUUACGUAAUCCCGACAUGUGGGCCUUUCUUUCAUAUUUCCUGAUAACCCCCUGCAGAAAUAGACAAACACCAAAACUCGUGGAAUUCUGUCAGAUAAAACCCUAUGUCUAGAUCUUGAUUUCAUUUAGAUCCUUUUCUUUAUUUAUUUGAUAAUUAAAUUUGAUACUUA